AACUGAAUCUACGGAAUAUUCCUUUGCUCGGUUUUGGGUGACACCCCAGGAGGGCUUCCAGAUAAAUUAUAGAAUGCCCAAGUUAUAUUUGAAUUUCAGAUACACGAUAAUUUUUUUUUAGUAUAAAUAUGCUCCAAAUACCGCGUAGAACGUGCAAAGAUGUUCAUCAUUUCUCUGAAAUGCAAAUUUAACUGAGCAUCCUGUUUUGUUUUGUUUUGUUUUGUUUCGUUCCGUUUCCAAAUCUGGCAACCCCACCCAUCAGGUGAGUCAGAGGCUUCAGAACCAAGCCAAUCAAGCUACUGAAAUCCUAGGAGAAGUCAAAUCAAGGCAGUACAUCUACAUUGAGCCGAAGUAUUUGCAAAGUGCCGUGCUCACAGCUGUGGGAGAUGCAACACCAUGUCAGAUCUGGCGAGAAAAUAGAACAAGAGAGGAAUGGCCACAGGCCAGAGAGAGACUACGGUACGAGUGUAAAAAGUUCGGCUCAAGAACUAUCGAAAAGCAAAAUAGUAGGAAGGAUGUUUCUAGUGGUUCUCUUCAUCCAUAACCUUUUGUGAUGGCUUCUUGCAAAGUGCGGCUUCUGCUCCACAGCUCGGGAGGAGGCUGGCGAGACCGGAGAAGAACAUUCUCUGACACGCAAGGAGGCUUGUGGGCACAGCACCUGCCUUAGUCUUUUAUUGCUGAGGCCCAAGGAUGGCAACAGGACCUCUUGUGGUUUCCCGACGCCCUGCCUACACCUUUGAACAUAACCCCAUCGUCAACUCUUCUCGAAUUACCCAUCUCAGUGUUUCUUGCCUGCACCAUGACUGACACAGCCGGGCUGUAAACACGUCACCGACUCUACCUUGCCCAGAGGAGGAAGCAACAUCCCACAGGAGGGGGGCAAGAUUCCACCCUUGCCACAUCUUGAGACACGCUUUCCGCACGCUGGCGGACGUGUGGUUUCCUGCACGCAAGGUGUUCUUUUUCUUCUUGGAGAUUUUGUAACUGAUGAUUUCUUUCCUGGCUUAGCUGCCUGCACAGUGUCUUUUCUUCCUUCAAGAGUGUUCAGGGAUCACCUGUCGAUUUUUUCUGACUUUCCUAGGUAGGAUGGGCUGCUUCCUCUUCUAUGCUCCCUUAUCACAUUAUACGCAUGCCCAUUAAAGCUCUUUUCGCUGCUGCGAGUUUUUGUUCCUAUGUCUGCUUUCCAACCAGUCUUGGAAUCCUCCGAGUGUAUUCUGUUUCCCUUUGUUCUCCGAGUCCCUGCUGUUGUCCCUGGUGGGCUUAAUAAACAUAUUUUGAAUGAC